UCUGUUGAUGACUGACUUUUACCUAGCAUGGUGCUUUUGAGAUCCACACAUGCUCUUGAUGGUUAGUGUUUUUUUCCAGAGUGAAAAUAGCUUGUCUAUCCAUUAGUUCUCUCCCCAGAUGGCUGCAAAGCCAGGUUGUAUCAUGAGCCUAGAAUUCUACCUGGUUCUCUCAGGGUAUGAGAGGUCCAAACACUUGGGCUGUCUUCUGUUUGUUUCUCAGGUGCAGGAGCAAUAAGCCAGAUCAGAAGCUGGGCAACUGGGCCUCGAACUGGUGCUCAUAGGAGAUGCUGGUGUUGCCAGUAUAGGCUAAACCCACCAUGAAAGGACACUGCCUGUUGAUAGUAGCUUUUACCAGGAAACUUUACAUUGUUUACAUUAUUUUUGAAGUCUUAAAAAUUGUAAUGUGAAUUAAUCUCACAUUUCUAGAACAGUUGCAAGAAUUACAAGAUACGCUUCUAAGAUACCCAUGUGUAUACUCCCAAAUGUUAAUAUUUUAUUGUAUUUUCUGUUUCUUUCUCCAUGAAAUCCCAACCUUAUAGUUCUCUUGUUUUCAAAGCAUCCUUUUCUUAGUAGGUCAGCUCUCUCUGACCCUCUCUGUUUGAGCAUCACUUAAUUCCGACUAGCAGCACUGUGGCCCAAUUUCGAAAGCCUUGGAGAGAUUUAAUUGGCUCAGGUUGGGUUGGGCAUCUUCCCCCACCCAUGCAAUCAACAGUGACCCCAUGGUGGGGUCCUUUGAGAAUAAAUCUUGGGUGAAAUUUCCAAGAGUGAAUAAAGAAAAGAGGGGAGAAACACUGAGAAUCUCUUCCAAGAAGCAUUUAACAAUUUGAAAAAUAAUAAAAACAUAAUAAUCCUGAAUGAGUAUUUUUCCAUAUAGUUGCUUUACACUGCCAGGUGCUUUUCCAUACCCAUGUGCUUAUUUCCUUGCUCAUCUUGGCGCUCAACUUUGAGGACUAGCUAAGGUCAAAUACUUUCCACUAAAAAAGAAAAAAAAAAUCAGUAUCUAUUCUUAGCAGCUACACCUCCCUCUUGGCCAAAGCAUGUGACUUGCUCUCUUUUUAAUUGCUAGUGACUCAAACACACCUGGGUGUCUGGGGUUGGAGGUGGCUUCAGUACAGCUGGGGCUAAGGGUUACCUUUCUCUAUCACUUCUCCAGGCUUUCUGCAUGCCACAGAGUGGAAUUCCUGUUCUAGCCGUUGUCUUAGGGACACCUGAGUACCAAGGCCCCCUGAUGCUCUGAGUUCUCUCACUUUAGCGCUCUCUCAUUUGCAGUUUUUUCCUUUCCACCCAUCCCAUCAUCUGUGCCAGGCUUUCUUUACAUGACUGGCAUAGUUGCUGGCAGCUUCCAAGCGUCAAAGCAGGGAUUGGCAUGCCAGUGGCUUCUGCAAGGUGCCUAUGUCCUAAUGCAAGGACUGUGAAUGUGUUACUUUGAGGAGCAAAAGGGAAUAAAUUAAGGAUCUGAAGAUGGGAGAGAUGAUCCAGGUGGGCCCCGUAGAAUCAUAAAAGGCCUUACAAGCGGGAUAUGGGAAGGCCAAAGGCAAAAGAAGGGACCAGGACAAGGAAGCAGAAGCUGGAAGGAUGUGCCUUAAUCAUGGAGCAAAGGGCCAGGGGGGACCCUACCUGCAGGUGGCCUGUAGGAACUAGGAAAGUUCAAAGAGUGGAUUCCAGAGGAGCAGCUGCAGAGAUCAUGACUGCUGAUACCUUGAGUUUAGCUGCUCUUACCCACAUUGGGUUCCAGGCAUGUGAGAGUAUGAAUUCAUGGGGUCUCAAAGCACAAAGUGGCUGCAGUUCAUUCCAGCAGCCACCAGACACUAACAUGUAAUCUCAGUACUGAUGACUGAAUGUUCCAGAAGUCCUGUGAUUCCUCUAAAAUGGCCCAUACACCCUCCACCUAUUUCUUGAGUAGAAUACAUAAGGUGAAGAACAAGUAGAAUGAGCGAUCACCUGCAACUCAGAGGUGAGAGAAGGAACUGGUGAAGGGGUCGUGGGGAGUUCGUUUCUCCAUGAGAGAGCAGCUGGACAGACAACAAGAAAGAGGAUCUCUUGUUCACCCUGGUACUGCCAUGCCAGCCAGCCUUUGCCCCAGGCAGCCGUUGAAAAUCAGCACUAUGCUUUGUGGACAGCAGUGCAUAGGAGGAUGCACUGUGCGAUUUAUCGCUUCAGGUUUGCAAAGCUAUUUUUAUAAGAAGAAAAAAUGUGUAAUCUCUGGAGGGCAUAUUUGAAUGGAGCAAAACCUCAUUUACAUAUGGAAAAUCUGCUAUUUUUGUUGUAAACGUUGUGCUUUUGUAGCCAAAAGAAAGAUCUGAGUUUAUAUUCAGAGUCUGUCACAUGCCAGCCUGGGGACCUCUGUGAAUUUCAGUUUCCUCAUCUGUAAAAUGGAGAUGAUAAUACCUUCCUGUGAGCUGUUGAAAGGAUUGAAAAAAAAGAUGAUUUAUGUAAAACCCCGCACUAAGUAUGUAGAGCUUAGUGCACUUGUUCAGUAAAGAAUUGCUAUAUUUGUCCUGCUUUCUCCACAUCAUGAGAUGAAAUUGGUCCAUGAAAGAUUGGACUGGGUUUGGAGUUUGGAUGGAAAGGCCUCAUAUUUUAGUAUAUGCAUUAGUUUGAGCAGAGUGGCUAAAAAACAUUUUUUUUUGAAGCGUACGCUUGUAUGUAUAUAGAAGAGUACUUCAAAAAAUGUGUGGGAAAACAGAAACAAAAGCUAAGUUUGGCAGUGAACCUUUGACCUAGUGGUUAGGAGGCUGGUGUGCCCGAAUUUCAUCACUGAUUCCAGCUUCCAAUUCCAGCUUCACGCUGAUGCAGACCCUGGGAGGUGGCAGUGAUGGUGUGAGUUAUGAUGUCCAUGUAGGAAGUCUAGCUGGGAUCACAGGCUCCCAGUUAGGUCC